rnacentral:rRNA from 1 species
GAUGAACGCUGGCGGCGUGCCUAAUACAUGCAAGUCGAGCGAACAGACGAGGAGCUUGCUCCUCUGACGUUAGCGGCGGACGGGUGAGUAACACGUGGAUAACCUACCUAUAAGACUGGGAUAACUUCGGGAAACCGGAGCUAAUACCGGAUAAUAUAUUGAACCGCAUGGUUCAAUAGUGAAAGACGGUUUUGCUGUCACUUAUAGAUGGAUCCUCGCCGCAUUAGCUAGUUGGUAAGGUAACGGCUUACCAUGGCAACGAUGCGUAGCCGACCUGAGAGGGUGACCGGCCACACUGGAACUGAGACACGGUCCAGACUCCUACGGGAGGCAGCAGUAGGGAAGCGUCGGCAAUGGGCGAAAGCCUGACGGAGCAACGCCGCGUGAAUGAUGAAGGUCUGCGGAGCGUAAAACUCUGUUAUUAGGGAAGAACAAAUGUGUAAGUAACUAUGCACUUCUUGACGGUACCUAAUCAGAAAGCCACGGCUAACUACGUG